rnacentral:lncRNA from 1 species
CCUGUUUGGAUCCGAGAGGUAAUGUAUUAAGGACAGUUCCUCUUUCAGUGUCCCCGCUUCUUGCAAAAGAAGCAUUCAGCUUGACUCUUAUCGGGCUUGAUCUUUCUGGUCUAGCCCUGCACUGUUGUCCCUGUCUGAACUUGCACCUUUUUCACUUUCUUCUUCUUGUUCUUCUUCUCUUUCUCAAAGGGUCGAGAACCAGAAGAUGAACCUCCCACUAAGUUCACCGACUCCUUAUGGA